AAAAGCCCAUUUCUAUUGGAUAGAAUAGAAUUAAGCAUUUUAAAAUGUUUCCAUUGCUUGCAGUGCACUUUGGACUUUGUUUUGUGUCUAUGGUGGGCGGUGGUGUCGAUCUGGAUGUCUGGUGGGUGUGGCUCCUGGCCAUCAAUCAUGCAGAUACGAUCUGUUCUCGAUAAGUUGCCAAAAAAGAGCGAAGCAAAAAUCACUAAAACAAUCAAUUGAAAUUCUCGCGGCGCGAAUGUUUGCUCAAUGGGGGAUUGCGUUUGGGUGGAAUAACGGUGACCAACGUGCAGUGUUUGCGAAAAAUCAUAAAUAGUAUCAAUGGA